rnacentral:rRNA from 1 species
GACGAACGCUGGCGGCGUGCUUAACACAUGCAAGUCGAACGGAAAGGCCCUGCUUGUAGGGUACUCGAGUGGCGAACGGGUGAGUAACACGUGGGUGAGCUGCACUGCCCGUCGGGGUAAGCCUGGUAAACUGGGUGGAAUACCGGAUCGCAUACAGUUUCAGUGUCAUGGUUGGAGAGUUUUUUCGGUGUUGGAUGAGCUCGCGGCCUAUCAGCUUGUUGGUGGGGUAAUGGCCUACCAAGGCGGCGACGGGUAGCCGGCCUGAGAGGGUGGACGGCCACACUGGGACUGAGAGACGGCCCAGACUCCUACGGGAGGCAGCAGUGGGGAAGAUUGCACAAUGGGCGCAAGCCUGAUGCAGCGACGCCGCGUGGGGGAUGACGGCCUUCGGGUUGUAAACUCCUUUCGCUAGGGACGAAGCUUUUUGUGACGGUACCUAGAUAAGAAGCACCGGCUAACUACGUG